rnacentral:rRNA from 1 species
GGGGAAUAUUGCACAAUGGGCGAAAGCCUGAUGCAGCAACGCCGCGUGAGUGAUGAAGGCCUUCGGGUUGUAAAGCUCUGUCUUCUGGGACGAUAAUGACGGUACCAGAGGAGGAAGCCACGGCUAACUACGUGCCAGCAGCCGCGGUAAUACGUAGGUGGCAAGCGUUGUCCGGAUUUACUGGGCGUAAAGGAUGCGUAGGCGGAUACUUAAGUCAGAUGUGAAAAUCCCGGGCUUAACUUGGGAACUGCAUUUGAAACUGGGUAUCUAGAGUGCGGGAGAGGAAAGUGGAAUUCCUAGUGUAGCGGUGAAAUGCGUAGAGAUUAGGGAGAACACCAGUGGCGAAGGCGACUUUCUGGACCGUAACUGACGCUGAGGCAUGAAAGCGUGGGGAGCAAACA